GUCAGCACCCCCGACUAUAAGUCGGGGGCUUCAGGCGACUACCGCCGAAGCCCUAGCUGACCAGAACUAAGUACCUUGAGUACUACGUUAGAGGCAAGAGUUAAAGACCCACUUCAGGAUGCUUGCUAGUCCUGAACUCUGGA
rnacentral:sRNA from 19 species